AGUACCAUGCCGGUGGAAAGGAUGCGGAUGCGCCCAUGGCUGGAGGAACAGAUAAAUUCGAAUACGAUACCAGGGCUAAAGUGGCUGAACAAGGAAAAGAAGAUUUUCCAGAUCCCCUGGAUGCAUGCAGCUAGACAUGGGUGGGAUGUGGAGAAGGAUGCCCCACUCUUCAGAAACUGGGCGAUCCAUACAGGAAAGCAUCAACCAGGAGUAGAUAAACCUGAUCCAAAAACAUGGAAAGCGAAUUUUCGGUGUGCCAUGAAUUCCUUGCCUGAUAUCGAAGAAGUGAAAGACAGAAGUAUAAAGAAAGGGAACAAUGCCUUCAGAGUGUACCGGAUGCUGCCCUUAUCCGAACGCCCUUCUAAAAAAGGAAAGAAACCAAAGACGGAAAAAGAAGAGCGAGUUAAGCACAUCAAGCAAGAACCAGUUGAGUCAUCUUUGGGGCUUAGUAAUGGAGUAAGUGACCUUUCUCCUGAGUAUGCGGUCCUGACCUCAGCUAUAAAAAAUGAAGUGGAUAGUACGGUGAACAUCAUAGUUGUAGGACAAUCCCAUCUGGACAGCAGCAUUGAAGAUCAAGAGAUUGUCACUAACCCGCCAGACAUUUGCCAAGUUGUGGAAGUGACCACCGAGAGCGACGACCAGCCAGUCAGCAUGAGCGAGCUCUACCCUCUACAGAUUUCUCCUGUGUCUUCCUACGCAGAAAGCGAAACUACCGACAGCGUGCCUAGUGAUGAGGAGAACGCAGAGGGGAAACCACACUGGCGGAAGAGGAACAUUGAAGGCAAACAGUACCUUAGCAACAUGGGGACACGGAGCACCUACCUGCUGCCCAGCAUGGCGACCUUUGUCACUUCCAGCAAGCCAGAUCUGCAGGUCACCAUCAAAGAAGAGAGCUGUCCAAUGCCUUACAACAGCUCCUGGCCCCCGUUUACAGACCUCUCUCUCCCUGCCCCAGUGACCCCCACACCCAGCAGCAGCCGGCCGGACAGGGAGGCCCGGGCCAGCGUCAUCAAGAAGACCUCUGAUAUCACCCAGGCCCGUGUCAAGAGCUGUUAAGCCUUUGACUCUCUCUGGUGGUUGUUGGGAUUUCUUAGCUUUGUGUUGUUGUUUGUUUGUAUUUUAUUUUUCUCUCUGAUACCUAUCUUAGACAAAUCUAAGGGAAAAAGCCUUGUCAAUAGAAUAUUGAUUGCUGUGUCCAACUCCAGGGCUGGGGCUUCUUUUUAAACUCAGGACUCCAGCCCCUUGGUAGAUGCAUAUCUCUAGAACCUGCUGGAUCUCCCAAGGCUACUCCCUCAAGUUCAUGGACCAACAGCCACACGGGCAGUGGAGGUGCUGCGUUGCCUACGGUCAAGGCCAGCAUGGUGGAGUGGAUGCCUCAGAACGGACGAGAAAAUGUGAACUAGCUGGAAUUUUUUAUUCUUGUGAAUAUGUACAUAGGGCAGUACUAGCCACGUUGCAGUCUGCUUCUGCACCUUAUCUUGAAGCACUUACAAUAGGCCUUCUUGUGAUCUUGCUCUUCUUCACAGCACACUCGGAGUCCCCUCUGUGCCCAUUACCCCACAGCCCACCCCUCACCAGCCCAUCCAAUCCCAGCCCACUAACCAACCCAUCCAAUCCCAGCCCACUAACCAACCCCCAACCCAUCCAAUCCCAGCCCACUACCCAUCUUCUCCCUCCCCAACCCAUCCAGUCCCAGCCCACUAUCCACCCUUCCCUCCCCAACCCAUCCAGUCCCAGCCCACCUGGUUCUUUUUCUCCUUUUCUCUCCUAAAGGUAAUGUUCCACAUAUUGGAGGAGGAGGAGGAGGAGGAGGGGAAGAAGAAAAUUAGUUUCUCCACAGCUGUCCCAUUUUAAGACUGCUUGAAAAAAAAUCUUUCUAAUCUGCUAUGCUUGAACGCCACGCGGUACAAAGGAAAACUGUCAUGGAAAUAUUAUGCAAAUUCCCAGAUUUGAAGACGAAAAUACUCUAAUUCUAACCAGAGCAAGCUUUUUUAUUUUUUAUACAGGGGAAUAUUUUAUUCAAGAGUGCAAUCAUGGAUCAGGGCUGACAAAAGAUUUAUUCUUGGAGACCAACAAGCUUUCCUUUGCUGACCAUGAGAAACUUAGGACGUUCCUAUGGUGAGGCUGCGAAUACUUUCCUCUUCCAAAUGCGCACUGCACCGAACCCCUGUUGGAAUGUCCCACACGUGUUGCCGAUCACAGCUGUGCCCAGAAAGGGCGUUUAUCACAACUGCACAUGGUAGCAGUGGAGACCUGAAAUGGAGGCCCUCUGCUCAGGUGACCCAUGCAGCACAAGACCAGGAUGCUGGCGCCCAACCCUGGAGGAUUUCUGGAGGAGUCUAUUCCCUAGUCCACAGCUCUCUGCUGUGAGCAGAUUCCUCUCAUGUCAGUGGUUUUCUGUCCUUAUCCAUAGACUUAGACAUAUAACUCAAGUUUGUGUUGUGUUACAUAUCUGGGCACAGAUUAAACACUUAGAAAUGAGAAAUAGA